rnacentral:piRNA from 1 species
UCCAGGUCUGUGGAUGCCUACGACA